rnacentral:rRNA from 1 species
AGGGAAUCUUCCGCAAUGGACGAAAGUCUGACGGAGCAACGCCGCGUGAGUGAUGAAGGUUUUCGGAUCGUAAAGCUCUGUUGCCAGGGAAGAACGUCCUGUAGAGUAACUGCUACAGGAGUGACGGUACCUGAGAAGAAAGCCCCGGCUAACUACGUGCCAGCAGCCGCGGUAAUACGUAGGGGGCAAGCGUUGUCCGGAAUUAUUGGGCGUAAAGCGCGCGCAGGCGGCUGUUUAAGUCUGGUGGUUAAUCCUGGGGCUCAACCCCGGGUCGCACCGGAAACUGGACGGCUUGAGUGCAGAAGAGGAGAGUGGAAUUCCACGUGUAGCGGUGAAAUGCGUAGAGAUGUGGAGGAACACCAGUGGCGAAGGCGACUCUCUGGGCUGUAACUGACGCUGAGGCGUGAAAGCGUGGGGAGCAAAC